rnacentral:lncRNA from 1 species
UGAUUUUAAAUAGAAUAAUCAGUAAACCACUACCAGGAACAACUUUAAAGUAUGAUAAAAGUACAAGUGUGUUCAUAUUAAGCAAUCAUUAAUAGAUCACUCUCAAUGAUCAUGGAUGGCUCUUACUUUUAUGGCCUAAAAGUGGUCUAAAUCUCUCAUUGCUGACAAGAAAGGGCUUUCCUUUUGUAACUCUUGUUUGUAGCUUUCAUUACAUUU